AGCAGUAGCCACGGUAAAACCAGCACCUCGAGUGGUCAGGAGGUUUAUUGGGCCUAAAGCAUCCGUAGCCGGUUGCAUAAGUUUUCGGUUAAAUCUAUGCGCUUAACGUAUAGGCCGCCGAAAAUACUGUGCAGCUAGGGAGUGGGAGAGGUACACGGUACUCGAUAGGAAGGGGUAAAAUCCUUUGAUCUAUUGAUGACCACCUGUGGCGAAGGCGGUGUACCAGAACACGUUCGACGGUGAGGGAUGAAAGCUGGGGGAGCAAACCGGAUUAGAUACCCCUGUAGUCCCUGUCUCUUAUAC
rnacentral:rRNA from 1 species